CUCUGAACAAAAGAAAAGACCGAAGCCUUUCUUCUUCCCUCUUCUCGAUUCUCUUGCAAAAGCUCUAUUUCUUCUUCAAAUUUUUCAAAUUAAAUCUUUCACUUUUGUUUAAUCACAAUAUGUGAGCCUUAUGUAUGAAACCCAAAAGCCCUAACACAAGUUGUAAUCUCAGAUUGUAUUUUUGAAUCAGGAGUAGAAAGUAUGUUUUCCAAUAAUAUCAUCGUGUAAAGUCCUUCUCGGUGUUGACAAUCUCUUUUGUUGGAACUCUCUGUAAAGAGAAAUUUUUUCUUACUUUAGGGAAGUAAGAUGAGUUAUAGACACUAUGCAAUGACUUUUCAAAGCAUGGAAAGCUCGACUGAGCAUUCGCUACUCUCGCCAUGUUGCUGAAGGAAACAUAUUGUCUCGUCGACCUGAAGAUGUUGAACUAGAGGACUGGAAAUACUUAGUAGAGUAUUUUGGAUGUCCGGAAUUUAAGAAAAAUCCUUCCACUGGAGAUAAGGAACCACUAGAUAGAGUUUGGGAGAUCCAACAUACACGUAAAAAUGAUAGAGGAGAAACAGUGUGGGUGGAUCCACAAUCCCAACAAAUUCAUUGCCAGCUCUAGGAACUUGUGGCUCAGCAACAAUCUGAAGAGAUAGAGCAUCCCAUGACUAGAGAUGAGAUUUUAUCCUCUGUUCUUGGUGAAAGGACAUGUUAUGUUCACGGUAAUGGGUAUGGAAGGAAGCCUCCAAAAAAGAGUCACACGCAAGCGACAAACAUAGAGGCUAGUAUGUCUUCUGCAA